UACAGAGGUCUCAAGCGUUGUUCGGAUUCAUUGGGCGUAAAGGGUGCGUAGGUGGCGUGGCUAGUCUGAUGUGAAAUCCCGGGGCUCAACCCCGGAACUGCAUUGGAUACUGCCAUGCUUGAGCACUGGAGAGGAGACUGGAAUUUACGGUGUAGCAGUGAAAUGCGUAGAUAUCGUAAGGAAGACCAGUGGCGAAGGCGAGUCUCUGGACAGUUGCUGACACUGAGGCACGAAGGCUAGGGGAGCAAACGGG
rnacentral:rRNA from 1 species